rnacentral:rRNA from 1 species
AACGUACGCUGGCGGCACGCCUAACACAUGCAAGUCGAACGGCAGCACGGGUGCUUGCACCUGGUGGCGAGUGGCGAACGGGUGAGUAAUAUAUCGGAACGUACCUUAUUGUGGGGGAUAACGCAGCGAAAGCUGUGCUAAUACCGCAUAAUCCCUAAGGGGGAAAGCGGGGGAACGUAAGGCCUCGCGCAAUUAGAGCGGCCGAUACCUGAUUAGCUAGUUGGUGAGGUAAAGGCUCACCAAGGCAACGAUCAGUAGCUGGUCUGAGAGGACGAUCAGCCACACUGGGACUGAGACACGGCCCAGACUCCUACGGGAGGCAGCAGUGGGGAAUUUUGGACAAUGGGGGCAACCCUGAUCCAGCAAUGCCGCGUGAGUGAAGAAGGCCUUCGGGUUGUAAAGCUCUUUUGUCAGGGAAGAAACAGCAGCUCUAACACAGUAUGCGAAUGACGGUACCUGAAGAAUAAGCACCGGCUAACUACGUGCCAGCAGCCGCCGUAA